GACGAACGCUGGCGGCGUGCCUAAUACAUGCAAGUCGAACGCACAGUUUAUACCGUAGCUUGCUACACCAUAAACUGUGAGUUGCGAACGGGUGAGUCACGCGUAGGUAACCUGCCUGGUAGCGGGGGAUAACUAUUGGAAACGAUAGCUAAUACCUCAUAAUAUUAAUUAUUGCAUGGUAAUUGAUUGAAAGAUGCAAUUGCAUCACUACCAGCUGGCUCUGCGUUGUAUUAGCUAGUAGGUGAGGUAACGGCUCACCUAGGCGACGAUACAUAGCCGACCUGAGCGGGUGAUCGGCCACACUGGGACUGAGACACGGCCCAGACUCCUACGGGAGGCAGCAGUAGGGAAUCUUCGGCAAUGGACGAAAGUCUGACCGAGAAACGCCGCGUGAGUGAAGAAGGUUUUCGGAUCGUAAAGCUCUGUUGUAAGAGAAGAACGGGUGUGAGAGUGGAAAGUUCACACUGUGACGGUAUCUUACAAGAAAGGGACGGCUAACUACGG
rnacentral:rRNA from 1 species